rnacentral:rRNA from 1 species
AUUGAACGCUGGCGGCAGGCCUAACACAUGCAAGUCGAGCGGAUCGGCUGACGGGGGAGUAAUACCUAGGAAUCUGCCUUGUCCUGGUGGAUAACGUUCGCAAACGGAAGCUAAUACCACAUACUAUCAGAUGAGCCUAGGUCGGAUUAGGUAUUUGGUGGGGUAAGGGCUCACCAAGGCUACGAUCCGUAACUGGUCUGAGAGGAUGAGCAGGCACACUGGAACUGAGACACGGUCCAGACUCCUACGGGAGGCAGCAGUGGGGAAUAUUGGACAAUGGGCGAAAGCCUGAUCCAGCCAUGCCGCGUGUGUGAAGAAGGUCUUCGGAUUGUAAAGCACUUUAAGUUGGGAGGCGUUACCGACAGAAUAAGCACCGGCUAACUCUGUGCCAGCAGCCGCGGUAAUAC